CCGGGACCGACCACGGCCCACCCCUCCGGCCGCGGCGGCCGGGACCAGAACAGCGCAGGCUCUCCGCCCACGCCUGCCCUCGGCUCCCAGUCCGCGCUGCCGCCGCCCAGGUGACACGCAGGGACGGGAGCGGGGCUGCUAUGUCCCUCGGGCGCGCUUUGGGACGUUGCUGAGUGGCUACUGCUUGUGCUUUCUUGCUUCCAAGCUGGCGGUAAACCUUUUAAAUUCAGAGUGAUUCAAGGGCAUAGGCGUCGGAAUUGUGAUUUCGUGCGUGUUUUAUUUACCAGGCCUUCAAAUCAAAAAGGCCAGGCAAACACACGUUCUGGGGCUAUCAAGAAAGUUCACACGAAGGACAAAUCCAGCAGGGAGAAAGUGACAUACCUUGCGGGCUCAGGCUUGGGAUUUCUGCAGCCACGCGCGCGUUCACCCGACGGGACCUCGCCUGCACUGCCGCCGGGAGAAGCCUGCUCUAGACUCCGGCUCCAGGGGAGAGGGCUGGGCUCCACAGAGAGGAGCAGCCUCUUCUUCCAGACCAGCUGGUCUUGCUUCUGGAGCAUCUCUUGGAGCAGAAGACUCUGAGCCCCCGAACUCUGCAAAGCCUCCAGAGGACAUACCACCUCCAGGAUCAGGAUGCAGAGGUUCGCCAUCGGUGGUGUGAACUCAUUGUUAAGCACAAGUUCACGAAAGCCUACAAAAGUGUGGAGAGGUUCCUUCAGGAGGAUCAGGAAAGACCACAGCAAGAUUCUUUCAUUCGUCUCCUCCUAGCCUGGGGGACCAGGCUCGAACUGACCCUGGACAUCAAAGGAGGGAUUAUGUGGCUGCUAAAGCCAUCGGCCCACAGCCCUGUUCACAUCUUGGUGCUUCUCUUUCCCAGAGGCUGGUCCCAGCCAGGCACACACAAAAGGCAGAUUCUCGUAAACGCAGCCUCCCUCCCUGGAGGCUGCCUCCUGCCCUGGAUCUGGAGUGGAGCUGCUCUGAGAUUUUGAGUUCUUCUGCAGAGAUGAUUAAAUAUAUCCAAGAGACAUUGGAAAACCUGCUGAACAUUUUACAUUGGUCUGCUCAGCACAUGGCUGGAUGCGGAUAUUUCUAUAAUUCCAGAAAGUCACACAGCUCCUCUGUAUGAGACCAGUGGGCGCCAUUUAAAAGAACAGGAUGAGAAUCUAAGAUAUAUUAUUAAUAAAUGUAAUGGAUUUUUUUUUUGU
rnacentral:lncRNA from 1 species